rnacentral:lncRNA from 1 species
AUGCCUAUUCGGGCCAUUGGUCCAUUUUUCCAUGAGGUUAUCUCCGUUUCUCUCAUUGAUUUGUAAUUAAGAGUCCUGUUGCAAAUCUCUUUUCCCGCUGUGCGGCUUCUUGCCUUUUCCUUCGCUUACAACGCUCCAUGCUGUCCUGGACCCUAGCAUCACCCAGGCCUAGGUAAUAGAAGGGUGGCUUUUGUAAAGCGACUCAAGGCUGAGAAGGGAACAGACACUCUUAGCACAAUAAGCUACAGGCUGAAAAACAGCCGGAGGUGAAUCUUUGCAGCGUGAAUGGUCUGGCUGUCUUUUAUAAAAGUAACUCGAUUGGACUAGACCCCAUGAGGGACUCUGCUCCUCCGCUCCCCUUUCCCUGAGGACCUAAUUCCCCACUGGGUCAGCCGCAGAACCAGAUAGAGCUGGGGACUCACGACCCGUGCUGACGACUGGAUGCAAGAGGAGGAAGGACUUUGGUGGAGAGAAGGAAUCAAAAGGAACCAAGAAUGUGAGACAAGAGGACUUGCUGGUGGGGUCCCCUGCUGUGUCCCCAGAGUCCCAGCAUGUGCCUGACACACAGCAGGUGACAAAUUCUACCGCCAGUAAUCACUUGUGAAAAAUCAACAGUGAAGCCCAGUGGCUCCCGGUCCCCCGGAGAAAUCUGAGUGGAUUUCCAGAAGAACAAGACUUCGGCUUCAGACAGAUGUGGUUUCAAAGCUGCAGUCCCGGCCUUCCUGAGCUGUGUGACCUUGGUUACGUCCACGUGCCCAUUGCCUCGCCUGGGCCUCACUUUUCUCAUCUGUAUCAUGGAGUUGGCACCACCGGCUCUGCCCUCAAGGUUUGCCGCGCCUGCAGAGGCCCCUGAGCAUUCAGCAGGUGCUCACUCAGCAGGAGCUGCCAGACGUUGAAUGUGUGAUGGGAAUCAUUGGAUGCUGCCGCCUCUCCGCCCACCCGCCACCUGACACUGCCUCCUGGCUCUCCAUCACUGCCCAGGAGUCGGGCAGCCUCCCCGCUCCCUGCUAUUUCUUCUCUGCACCUGACGCCGCCUCCUGGCUCUCCAUCAUUGCCCAGGAGUCGGGCAGCCUCCCCACUCCCUGCUAUUUCUUCUCUGGAGCUUCCCAGGAGGUUAAUAGCAGCUUCUCACCAGGAUAUUUGGCUUUUUAAGGAAUCUCCUUGCCUCUUUCUUCUCUGUGAGGAUAUUCUCAGGAUGGUUGCGGUGGAGAAGGGAAGGAAGGAGACUCUCGAGGCAUUUGCCAACUAAGGGGGGCACUUAGGGGUAGGUGGGGGGGGCCAGUUCCGGGCAGAACUUGGGGCAGACAGUGCCCUGUUUCCAGAACAGCUCCCAGUGCCGGGCUGGGCUGGGCUUAAAUGCAGUGGGAGAAGCUCAAGGGUGGGGUGGGGUCACAGGCUCCACUUGGAAUGGGCCAGGUCAUUUGACUAUGGGGGCAUUUCUGAGCCUGGUGGGGCCUCAGUCUCCCCUCCUGGAAGGUGGGCCUGAUGAUCCAUGCCAGCCUGUAAAGGAAGGGAAAGAGUUUUGCUGAGCUGCAGAAGGAGGUGCAGACAAGGCGAGGGGCUGGGUGUUGGGGGAGGCCAGCUGAGCGCCCAGGACCCCUCUGGCCCCACCCCAGGUCCUUGGGCUCCAACUGCUCUCAGCCCUGCCCUGAGCUCAGGAAUGGGCCCAGGCCUGAGAAGGAGGUCAAAACUCUGCAGCCCUUCCACUACUACUUCGGGGGGCUCAGCACAGCUCCUCUGGGCUCAGGUCCCCAGGCCUUUCCCUGAUGUAACCCCCCAGUCAGGCCCGCACAGUAGGGGAGGUCCACCUCUUAUGUGUGUGUUUUAAAUUGCGGUAAAAUGUACGUAACAUGAAAUUUACCAUUUUAGCUCUGUAAGCAUACAGGUCCGUGGCAUUCGGUACAUUCACAUUCCUGUGUGGCCAUGACCACCAUCCAUUUCCGGGGCUUCUGCAUGAUCCCGAACAGAAGCUUGCACGCCCUGCGCCACGCCCCCUCCCAUGUCAACCCCCGUAACCGCUGGUCUUCGUCUCUAUGAAUUAAACUAUUCCAGGUACCUCCCAUCAGUGGAAUCAU